CCUACGGGCGGCAGCAGUGGGGGAUAUUGCACAAUGGGGGGAACCCUGAUGCAGCGACGCCGCGUGGGUGAAGGAGCGUUUCGGCGCGUAAAGCCCUAUCGGCAGGGAAGAAGAUGACGGUACCUGGCCAAGAAGCCCCGGCUAACUACGUGCCAGCAGCCGCGGUAAUACGUAGGGGGCAAGCGUUCUCCGGAUUUACUGGGUGUAAAGGGGGCGCAGACGGGAAUGCAAGCCAGGAGUGAAAGCCCGGGGCCCAACCCCGGGACUGCUCUUGGAACUGCAUGGCUGGAGUACAGGAGGGGCAGGCGGAAUUCCUAGGGUAGCGGUGAAAGGCGUAGAUAUUAGGAGGAACCCCGGGGGCGAAGGCGGCCGGCUGGACUGUGACGGACGUUGAGGCCCGAAGGCGUGGGGAACAAACAGGAUUAGAUACCCCAGUAGUC
rnacentral:rRNA from 1 species